GCCCCUAAACCUCAGAAAUGUGUGGGGAGAAUUUGAAUGAAAGAUGACUCUACCCAGGCUAUAGUCUGAGGAACAGAAUUUAACAGGAGACAAUGGAAUUCUUACUUUGAUCCUCACUUAUGUGGAAACAUGAGGAUUUUGGAGAGUUUCUUCAUAUGAAGAACGCCCACAGAUUUCUCUGGGAGAUACAAGUGAAAUCAAAAUGACAUCAAUAAUCCUGAAUUUCUUCUUCACACUCACUCAUGAAAAGUCUCCAAUUUUCCCACCUUGCUCGACCACCUUAAGUGCCUUCCUUCAAGAUAUUUCCUACUGCUUCUAAAGAGGAUCUCCCACUGGCUUGGGAGCAGCACAUCUAGUACCACUGGGGAAAGAAAUAUGGGAAGGAGAUCCAGGUCAUGCUGUGAAAUGAAGUCCUCUUCACUUUUUUGGCCACUAACUAAAACCUACAUCCAGG